rnacentral:rRNA from 11 species
ACGACUCUCGGCAACGGAUAUCUCGGCUCUCGCAUCGAUGAAGAACGUAGCGAAAUGCGAUACUUGGUGUGAAUUGCAGAAUCCCGUGAACCAUCGAGUCUUUGAACGCAAGUUGCGCCCGAAGCCGUCAGGCUGAGGGCACGUCUGCCUGGGCGUCACG